GGGGUAUGGCUCAAUGGAAGAGUCCUUGCCUAACAUGUACAAGCAAGGCCCUGGAUUUGAUCCCCAGGACCACCA
rnacentral:tRNA from 1 species